GCUCGUUCCAAGAUGAGGUAUCCCACCCUUUGUGGGUUAAGGCCCCCAGCUAGACCACUGGGUUGAUAGGCCAGAGGUGGAAGACCGGUAACGGUUGGAGCUGACUGGUACUAAUAGGCCGAGGACUUGUUAC
rnacentral:rRNA from 1 species